GAUGAACGCUGGCGGCGUGCCUAAUACAUGCAAGUCGAGCGAAUGGAUUAAGAGCUUGCUCUUAUGGAGUUAGCGGCGGACGGGUGAGUAACACGUGGGUAACCUGCCCAUAAGACUGGGAUAACUCCGGGAAACCGGGGCUAAUACCGGAUAACAUUUUGAACCGCAUGGUUCGAAAUUGAAUGGCGGCUUCGGCUGUCACAUAUGGAUGGACCCGCGUCGCAUUAGCUAGUUGGUGAGGUAACGGCUCACCAAGGCAACGAUGCGUAGCCGACCUGAGAGGGUGAUCGGCCACACUGGGACUGAGACACGGCCCAGACUCCUACGGGAGGCAGCAGUAGGGAAUCUUCCGCAAUGGACGAAAGUCUGACGGAGCAACGCCGCGUGAGUGAUGAAGGCUUUCGGGUCGUAAAACUCUGUUGUUAGGGAAGAACAAGUGCCAGUUGAAUAAGCUGGCACCUUGACGGUACCUAACCAGAAAGCCACGGCUAACUACGUGCCAGCAGCCGCGGUAA
rnacentral:rRNA from 1 species